rnacentral:rRNA from 1 species
UACGUAGGGUGCGAGCGUUGUCCGGAAUUACUGGGCGUAAAGAGCUCGUAGGCGGCUUGUCACGUCGGAUGUGAAAGCCCGAGGCUUAACCUCGGGUCUGCAUUCGAUACGGGCUAGCUAGAGUGUGGUAGGGGAGAUCGGAAUUCCUGGUGUAGCGGUGAAAUGCGCAGAUAUCAGGAGGAACACCGGUGGCGAAGGCGGAUCUCUGGGCCAUUACUGACGCUGAGGAGCGAAAGCGUGGGGAGCGAACAGG